AUUGAACGCUGGCGGAAUGCUUUACACAUGCAAGUCGAACGGCAGCACGGGUGCUUGCACCUGGUGGCGAGUGGCGAACGGGUGAGUAAUAUAUCGGAACGUGUCCAAUAAUGGGGGAUAACAUAUCGAAAGAUGUGCUAAUACCGCAUACGCCCUACGGGGGAAAGCUGGGGAUCGUAAGACCUAGCGUUGAUGGAGCGGCCGAUAUCGGAUUAGCUAGUUGGUGGGGUAAAGGCUCACCAAGGCGACGAUCCGUAGCUGGUCUGAGAGGACGACCAGCCACACUGGAACUGAGACACGGUCCAGACUCCUACGGGAGGCAGCAGUGGGGAAUUUUGGACAAUGGGGGCAACCCUGAUCCAGCCAUUCCGCGUGAGUGAAGAAGGCCUUCGGGUUGUAAAGCUCUUUCGCAAGGGAAGAAAACUUACAUUCUAAUAAAGUGUGAGGUUGACGGUACCUUGAUAAGAAGCACCGGCUAACUACGUGCCAGCAGCCGCCGUAAAAC
rnacentral:rRNA from 1 species